GGAGUCGGGGAAAACCUCGGGAAACUGAGGCUAAUACCUGAUGUGGCGCCGCGGCACAUGCCGGGAGCGGCCAAAGGGGGCCGCAAGGCUCCCGCUCCGACGAGGGGCUCGCGCACCAUCAGCUUGGUUGGCGGGGUAACGGCCCACCAAGGCUCACGGUUAGCUGGUCUGAGAGGACUGGCCAGCCGCACUGGGACUGAGAUACUGCCCAGACUCCUACGGGAGGCUGCAGUCGAGGAUCAUUCGCAAUGGGGGAAACCCUGACGAUGCGACGCUGCCGUGGAGGACGACGGCCUUCGGGUUGUAAACUCCUGUCAUGGGGGAAAAGGCGAGGGGACCCAACACGUCCCUUAGUUGAUGGUACCCCAAGAGGAAGCGACGGCUAACUCUGUGCCAGCAGCAGC
rnacentral:rRNA from 1 species